rnacentral:tRNA from 1 species
CGCGGGGUGGAGCAGUUCGGUAGCUCGUCGGGCUCAUAACCCGAAGGUCGCAGGUUCAAAUCCUGCCCCCGCAACUA